UACGUAGGGUGCAAGCGUUUGUCCGGAAUCAUUGGGCGUAAAGAGCGUGUAGGCGGCUCGAUCAGUCCGCUGUGAAAGUCCAGGGCUCAACCCUGGAAAGCCGGUGGAUACUGUCGGGCUAGAGUACGGAAGAGGCGAGUGGAAUUCCUGGUGUAGCGGUGAAAUGCGCAGAUAUCAGGAGGAACACCAAUGGCGAAGGCAGCACUCUGGGACGUGACUGACGCUGAGACGCGAAAGCGUGGGGAGCAAACAGG
rnacentral:rRNA from 1 species